UACGUAGGGGGCGAGCGUUGUCCGGAUUUAUUGGGCGUAAAGAGCUCGUAGGCGGUUGGGUAAGUCGGGUGUGAAAACUCAGGGCUCAACUCUGAGACGCCACUCGAUACUGCUCUGACUCGAGUCCGGUAGGGGAGCGUGGAAUUCCCGGUGUAGCGGUGAAAUGCGCAGAUAUCGGGAGGAACACCAGUGGCGAAGGCGACUGUCUGGCUGACAACUGACGCUGAGACUCGAAAGCAUGGGGAGCAAACAGG
rnacentral:rRNA from 1 species